rnacentral:rRNA from 1 species
AGUGAACGCUGGCGGUAGGCCUAACACAUGCAAGUCGAACGGCAGCACAGUAAUAGCUUGCUCUUACGGGUGGCGAGUGGCGGACGGGUGAGGAAUACAUCGGAAUCUACUUUUUCGUGGGGGAUAACGUAGGGAAACUUACGCUAAUACCGCAUACUACCUACGGGUUAAAGCAGGGGAUCUUCGGACCUUGCGCGAUUUCAUGAGCCGAUGUCGGAUUAGCUAGUUGGCGGGGUAAAGGCCCACCAAGGCGACGAUCCGUAGCUGGUCUGAGAGGAUGAUAAGCCACACUGGAACUGAGACACGGACAAGACUACUACGGGAGGCAGCAGUGGGGAAUAUUGGACAAUGGGCGCAAGCAUGAUCCAGCCAUACCGAGUGGGUGAAGAAGGCCUUCGGGUUGUAAAGACGGUUUGUUGGGAAAGAAAAGCAGCAGGUUAAUACCCAGCUGUUCUGAAGGUACCCAAAGAAUAAGCACCGGCUAACUUAGUG